rnacentral:rRNA from 1 species
CGCGGCCUAUCAGCUUGUUGGCGGGGUAACGGCCCACCAAGGCAACGACGGGUAGCUGGUUUGAGAGAACGAUCAGCCACACUGGAACUGAGACACGGUCCAGACUUCUACGGGAGGCAGCAGUAGGGAAUCUUGCGCAAUGGGCGAAAGCCUGACGCAGCGACGCCGCGUGCGGGAUGACAGCCCUAGUGGUUGUAAACCGCUUUCAGCAGGGACGAAAAUGACGGUACCUGCAGAAGAAGUCCCGGCUAACUACGUGCCAGCAGCCGCGGUAAUACGUAGGGGACAAGCGUUGUCCGGAUUCAUUGGGCGUAAAGAGCUCGUAGGCGGUUCAGUAAGUUGGGUGUGAAAGCUCCGGGCUCAACCCGGAGAGGCCACUCAAUACUGCUGUGACUAGAGUCCAGUAGAGGAGCGUGGAACUCCUGGUGUAGCGGUGAAAUGCGCAGAUAUCAGGAAGAACACCGGCAGCGAAGGCGGCGCUCUGGGCUGGUACUGACGCUGAGGAGCGAAAGCAUGGGUAGCAAACAGGAUUAGAUACCCUGGUAGUCCAUGCCGUAAACGUUGGGCACUAGGUGUGGGGAGGAAUCAACCCUCUCUGUGCCGUAGCUAACGCAUUAAGCGCCCCGCCUGGGGAGUACGG